UCUGUAACCUAGAACUAGUCUAGGGAGAGACCUGUUGUCUGUAACCUAUAACUAGUCUAGGGAGAGACCUGUUGUCUGUAACCAGUAACUAGUCUAGGGAGAGACCUGUUGUCUGUAACCAGUAACUAGUCGAGGGAGAGACCUGUUGUCUGUAACCAGUAACUAGUCUAGGGAGAGACCUGUUGUCUGUAACCAGUAACUAGUCUGGGGAGAGACCUGUUGUCUUUAACCAGUAGCUAGUAG